CUGGCUAUAGGAAAUUGUUAGUGGCAGACGGGUGAGUAAUGCGUAGGAAUCUACCUAGUAGUACGGAAUAGCCAUUAGAAAUGGUGGGUAAUACUGUAUAAUCCCCGAGGGGGAAAGAUUUAUCGCUAUUAGAUGAGCCUACGUUAGAUUAGCUAGUUGGUGAGGUAAUGGCUUACCAAGGCUAUGAUCUAUAGCUGGUCUGAGAGGACGAUCAGCCACACUGGAACUGAGAUACGGUCCAGACUCCUACGGGAGGCAGCAGUGGGGAAUAUUGGACAAUGGGCGAAAGCCUGAUCCAGCUAUGCCGCGUGAGUGAAGAAGGCCUUCGGGUUGUAAAACUCUUUCAAUAGGGAAGAUAAUGA
rnacentral:rRNA from 1 species